rnacentral:lncRNA from 1 species
GGGACCAAGGUGAAAGAAGUGGCCCUCGCAAGCAUGAAUACGGACGCGAAGAUCAUGAAGGUUGAUCUGAACACCGUGUCGCCGAGGAAGAGGCUAUGCUUCGAGAAUAUUCAUGCCGAAAUGCUCAAGUUCGACCAGUUGUGAUCUGCGAAGGAGAUCACAUAACCUUUUUUGUAUGUCGACAAGUGUGCUCGCAUGACCACAUGC